rnacentral:rRNA from 1 species
CCCAGACAGCCAGGAUGUUGGCUUAGAAGCAGCCAUCAUUUAAAGAAAGCGUAAUAGCUCACUGGUCGAGUCGGCCUGCGCGGAAGAUGUAACGGGGCUAAACCAUGCACCGAAGCUGCGGCAGCGAACGUAUCACCCAAGACAACUUUACGGAGUUGACGAUUGACGGAGCGAAGCGACGUCAAAGCGUUCAUUAAAGUCGAGUUGGCUUAGGGAUACGUUCGUUGGGUAGGGGAGCGUUCUGUAAGCCGUUGAAGGUGGCCUGUGAGGGUUGCUGGAGGUAUCAGAAGUGCGAAUGCUGACAUAAGUAACGAUAAAGCGGGUGAAAAGCCCGCUCGCCGGAAGACCAAGGGUUCCUGUCCAACGUUAAUCGGGGCAGGGUGAGUCGACCCCUAAGGC